UGGGGAAUUUUGGACAAUGGGCGAAAGCCUGAUCCAGCAAUGCCGCGUGUGUGAAGAAGGCCUUCGGGUUGUAAAGCACUUUUGUCCGGAAAGAAAUCCUUGGCUCUAAUACAGUCGGGGGAUGACGGUACCGGAAGAAUAAGCACCGGCUAACUACGUGCCAGCAGCCGCGGUAAUACGUAGGGUGCAAGCGUUAAUCGGAAUUACUGGGCGUAAAGCGUGCGCAGGCGGUUUGCUAAGACCGAUGUGAAAUCCCCGGGCUCAACCUGGGAACUGCAUUGGUGACUGGCAGGCUAGAGUAUGGCAGAGGGGGGUAGAAUUCCACGUGUAGCAGUGAAAUGCGUAGAGAUGUGGAGGAAUACCGAUGGCGAAGGCAGCCCCCUGGGCCAAUACUGACGCUCAUGCACGAAAGCGUGGGGAGCAAACAGGAUUAGAUACCCUGGUAGUCCCACGCCCUAAACGAUGUCAACUAGUUGUUGGGGAUUCAUUUCCUUAGUAACGUACUAACGCGUGAAGUUGACCGCCUGGGGAGUACGGUCGCAAGAUUAAAACUUAAAGGAAUUGACGGGGUCAUAGCUG
rnacentral:rRNA from 1 species